CUCAGAGCUAAAAUACAAAGAGCCAAAAUAGACUAUAAGAAUAAGGUGGAGGACCAGUUUUGUACAGGGAACCCCAGACAAGCAUGGAAGGGACUGAACACAAUGAUGGGAAGAGGUGCCAAAGGAAGAGAUGAUGACGUCUUACUGGACACACCCUCCUUUGUGAAUGAUCUUAAUCAGUUUUAUGGAAGAUUUGACAUUGCAGAUUUUAAAGAGAAGAGCAACGACAUCUGUCUAGGCGUACACAGAAAUAAUAUCAUUCAGCUUUCAGAACAGGAGGUUGGUAUUUGUCUCUCACAGAUUAAGCCCCACAAAGCACCAGGACCUGAUGGUUUAGGAGGGCGUGCUCUGAAGGUGUGCGCCAGCCAGCUAAAGACAGUCUUAACUAGACUAUUUCAGUUUUUAUUAAACACCUGCACUGUACCAAAGACAUGGAAACAAUCUAUCAUAAGACCAGUACCUGAAAAACCAAGGUCUAAGUCCCUGAAUGACUUCCGCCCUGUGGCUUUAACCCCCACACUGUCUAAGUGCACGGAGAGGGUUGUUAGUAAACAUCUUACUUCAGGCAUAAAAGAACAACUUGAUCCAUUACAAUUUGCCUAUAGGACAAAUAGGGGAACCGAGGAUGCUACUCUUACCAUGGUUAAUAUGGUUUCUGGUCAUUUACAGCAGAAUAACACGUAUGCGGGUCAAAGACAAGACGUCACCAUUUUGGUGUCCGCAUCAAAUAUAAUUUACAAAAGUGAUUUUACAUACAAAAAAAACAUAUAAAAUGCAAGUAAAAUGUCUACUUUUAUGUUUCAAAUAACUUUUGUGAAAAUACAAUGACCAAAUAUGAGUUUAAUAAUGCUCCAAAGUGUAAAAUCGUCAUUCAGCGUAAUGGUCCGGACUAUGAUUUUACUAAUACAUUUUUAAAUAAACGUAUAAAAUACCAUGUUAAAAAAAUAUUUGCUUCCUUGGCAUGUUCACAUAAGUGUUGGCUGUUUUAUAUUAAUAGGACUAUGUGUUAUUUUUUUUCGUUAAAUAUUGAAACAACUAGGGGACUUUUGUCCCGAAUAUGCAGUUUGUCAGAGGUCAUUCAGUGUAACGGGAUCAGGAAACCAUUUUGAAAUUAAAUAAACAAACAAUAGUCAUCAAGCAGUCUGUGACAUCAUCAAAGGGGCCCCCUGAAGACCAUCUGGUGAUUCAGCAAGGUAAGUUUAUUGCUCUUAAAUAUUUGAUAAUUUCACCUUUUCAUAGUGUGGUAUCUUGAGUUACAAAAACGACUGUCAUUCAGUGAAAUGCAAAAAAACACUUUUAUUGUUAGAUUUUUUGAAAAAUAAGUAGAUGUUGUGAAUAAUGAUGAUAAACCUUUCUGGUCAAGUUCACUGUUUGAUAUAGGUAUCUAGUUGUUAACUUCUAAUAUUAGCUUAAGUAAAAGUUUCGUCAUUCAGGGUAAUGUUUUGUCAUUCGGUGUAAUGCAAAUUGUAUGUUACACCACAGUGUCAUCCAUUACACUGAAUGAUAGUGUCACUGUUUAGAUAACAUUUUUAGCAUUUUAUUUCUAUUUCAGAUAAAUGAGGGAUGUUUAGCACAAAAAAAUAUAUCAAACUUUAUCAAUAUUAAUGUUUUAAUGUAUUUUUGUCGUUUUGGUACUGAUUUCUUUUAGAUGCCCACAAACAAAGAGAAAGUUUCUAGGCACUGGCAGAAAGUUAAUGCAGACCCAGUAGCUAGGGCAAUGCAUUUAGCAAGGAGACGAGAAAGCAACCAGAGAAGAAAGCAAGCUGCCUUGGCUGCAAAUCCUGAUCACCCGUCAAUCAGGAAUUUAUCAGAUGCUGCAGCUGAGAAGAGGCGAAAGCAAUGGCGGAAAAAUCAAAGAAAACACAGGGCAGAAGCUAAACGUAUAAGGGCAGUUCUGGAUCUUAUUAUACAGUAUUACCACCUGUUCAGUUAAUUUUUACGAAUAUGAUAUGCAUUAUGGAAUAAAAAUGAUUAUUAAUUUCA